GACAGAGGGUGCAAACGUUGCUCGGAUUUACUGGGCGUAAAGCGCGUGUAGGCGGGCGAUUAAGUCGGAUGUGAAAUCCCUGGGCUCAACCUAGGAACUGCAUUCGAAACUGGUCACCUAGAGUGAUGGAGAGGAAAGCGGAAUUCCCGGUGUAGAGGUGAAAUUCGUAGAUAUCGGGAGGAACACCAGUGGCGAAGGCGGCUUUCUGGACAUUUACUGACGCUGAGACGCGAAAGCGUGGGGAGCAAACAGG
rnacentral:rRNA from 1 species